GUGAGACUCUUGUUUACUGUAAAUGCCCCUUAUAAUAUCCUGAAUCAUGCAUGAAGUGCACUAAUAUUAGCUUUAAGACACUGACGUGAAUGUGCUGUAACCUUUCUUGUCCACAGUCAUGGAACUAAUUGCUAUUUACAGUGUUACAUAAAUGACAUUUUCCAUUGUAUGCGCUCAUCGCGGCUCCGUGCUUUGUUGCAGGCUCUGAAAAACGCCGCAGAAAUCCAUCUCGAGAGAGAUGAGAUGAGACGCAGAGGGGGGAAGCCCGGUCUGUAUGAGUCAUCACCUGCAUCGCUGCCUGGACGCCGAGACUGUCUGAGCCUGCUGAGAAUGACAAAGACCUCAGGACGUGAUUUUAAAUUAUUCCUGAAGAAUUUAAAUGUAAAGAUUUUAAAGGACAGACCAAUAGCUUUUCUCUAAAUCUCUAAAUCACUGGGUCGAAAAACUGACCCAGUUUGGAUAAAUAUAGCACAGACAUAACACUGGGUUAACUUCACUCAGUGUCAGUGACAUAUAUAUGUUGUUUUUUUAACCUAUACAUUUGGCCCAGUGUUCCACAAUAAGGUCAACUUUUACCAUAAAAACAGUUUUUACUUGCAUGACAUUCAAACCUGCAGAGCAUGCUCACAUUAUUUACAAUCAACACACAGUGACAAGCAGAAGCAGAGCUAGAGGAGUGAACAACAGGGGGUCGAUUUAAUGCAGUAUUGUCUUGACUCUAUAUUUCUAGUCUAGUUUUUCUUGUGUAAUAUUUUACAUUUGAUACAUCUGAGCGUAUCUUGGGACCGUAUUGACUAAAAAUACGUUAAAUUCUGUUUUUUUCUGUACACUGUCUGCAGGCCUGCAGCAAUCAGAGGAUCAGAGAGACUACAAAUAACAAAGCUGACUGAUAAUAACUAAAUAUGACUCGGCUUCCUGCACGUUGAGCGGAUGUGAGAAAACAGCGAAACCCACUUAACCAGUCGACAAACUGGGUCAGAGCUUUGUUAAGUGUGCCAGAGGAGCUGCCUGAAGGCCUCGUGCAUGGAUGUUUCUGUGCGGGCAUGAACAAGGUGCCAUAAAAAGUGAAUGAAAGCCGAGAUCCUCCGGGGUCGUCCCACAUCAAUAAUGACUGAACGCCUCAGCGACGUGCCCGUCGUGUACACAAGAAGACCUUGAAGCCAACUUAUGAUGACACACGGAGUCAGUACAUCAGCUCAAAAGCGGCUGUCACGGCUACAAAGAGACGUAUGGGGUGACAUGAACCCUCCACGCAUGAUGAACAGCUUGUAUCUAUAACCCAGCAGCUACACGGGCGUCAACGAAGCAGAGAUUUGUCUUUCUUAAAAUGAAGAGGAGGGUCUACGGGAGCUGUUCAUUGUGAAAAAUCUUAUUACAGAGCGGGGGAACAGAUGUGGCUCAGCCUUUGUUUAAGAGACAAACCUACACUGGAGAAAACCGAGAUUUCAGGGAUGCUUUGAAGAAGCUUUUUGGGUUUCGUUUGAUGACACAUCUCAGCCCCAGAUUUCAAAGCUGCUGAUAUCAGGAUGCAGCAGCUGAAGUCGCUUCAGCUUAAAUAAAAAAGUUCCCCUGCUGCCUUACAAAUGUGAGUUCACUGAACUAAAGUUAAAUAAGUUUAAGGAACCUGAAAAAACAUUAAAAUGAAGACAAAUAAACAACUCUUUAUUAUGAUUAAUGUUAGCGUCUGGGUUGUUUUACAGUUAGUUUGCAGGCUGCUUUAUUGUGCAUUAAAUUAUUGUUUUUAUCUAAGGAACAAGCUCAAUUUAAUUCAACA